rnacentral:rRNA from 1 species
UGGGGAAUAUUGGACAAUGGGCGAAAGCCUGAUCCAGCAAUGCCGCGUGAGUGAUGAAGGCCUUAGGGUUGUAAAGCUCUUUUACCAGGGAUGAUAAUGACAGUACCUGGAGAAUAAGCUCCGGCUAACUCCGUGCCAGCAGCCGCGGUAAUACGGAGGGAGCUAGCGUUGUUCGGAAUUACUGGGCGUAAAGCGCGCGUAGGCGGUUUCUCAAGUCAGAGGUGAAAGCCCGGGGCUCAACUCCGGAAUUGCCUUUAAGACUGCAUCGCUAGAAUUGUGGAGAGGUAAGUGGAAUUCCGAGUGUAGAGGUGAAAUUCGUAGAUAUUCGGAAGAACACCAGUGGCGAAGGCGACUUACUGGACACAUAUUGACGCUGAGGUGCGAAAGCGUGGGGAGCAAACA